GAGAGAGACAUGCGCGCAUAUCAAUAAGCGGAGGAAAAGAAACUAACAAGGAUUCCCUUAGUAACGGCGAGUGAAGCGGGAAGAGCUCAAAUUUGAAAUCUUCAAGGUUUUACCUUGACGAAUUGUAGUUUAAAGAAGUGUUUUCUGCUGAAGUUUUGGUAAAAGUUCUUUGGAAUAGGACAUCAUAGAGGGUGAGAAUCCCGUAUUUGACCAUUAUUUUCAGCUUUGUGAUACACUUUCAAAGAGUCGGAUUGUUUGGGAAUGCAGUCCAAAAUGGGUGGUAAAUUUCAUCUAAAGCUAAAUAUUGGCGAGAGACCGAUAGCGAACAAGUACCGUGAGGGAAAGAUGAAAAGAACUUUGAAAGGAGAGUUAAACAGUACGUGAAAUUGUCAAAAGGGAAGCGUUUGACACCAGUGUUGUUUUCUCGAAAAUCAAUUAAAAAUGGCUCGAUUUUGUAUUGCUUGAGACCUUAAAAGCUCACUGUACAUUUUUCGUGUCUUUUUUAAUGCACUUUUCGUUUAACAAGUCAACAUCAGUUUCUUUUGUUGUAAAAGGGUCAUUGGAAGGUGGCUUUCUUUUCGGAGAAAGUGUUUAUAGCCUUUGGCCUCUGCAAUCGGAGAGACUGAGGUCUGCAGCGUAGACUCUUCGGGGUUAGAUACAUUUGUGCUAAGUUAUAGCUUUUUAUAGACAACUCGUUGACUAUAAUUAGUCUUGUAGCUUACUCGCUUAUGCUAUUUUACCUACGCUUAGGAUGUUGAAGAUGUAGCACAUCAU
rnacentral:rRNA from 1 species